CUUUCAAACUGAAAGAAUUUAUAAUCUAAUUUAUUAAUAUUCUCUGGAAAAGACAAAGAUACAACAGUAUGCCUGUUUAGAAAGUAUUUCAUAACUCACUCAGGGGAAAAACCUUACCUCAUUUCGGGAAAAAAUUGGGAUUUUGCCCUGUCGUUAUGUGCUAUUUUCCGUAGUAUUUUUCCAGUAGUACUUCUCCAAAUCAAGCUAGGGACAGUUCAGCUUCAAGUUUUAUUGACAUUUUUUGUGGGCAUGAAAUGCUUUUUUUAAUACCUUACUUUAACUCAUUUUGUGUAUUUCUAUGGGAUUCCUAUUUCUUUUCUGAAGAAAGGAGAAAAAGUCAUUAACUUAGAGAAGUUCAGACUUUUCAGAAGGUCAUGAAUCUGACAAGCCAGAAGCAAUGGAUCCUUCUCCAUCUGCCUUUUAUUUCCAGCACAUUUAUACAACCUUCAAGUCUUUGUUUUUCAAGUAAGGCUAAUGUUUAGAUUACUUCCUUAUUAAUUAUCCUCGUAAUGUCUGUAGGAUUUCUGUUUAAGUUUCAUCUUUCAUUCUUUACACUGGUAAGUUGUCUUUGCUCUUUUUUUCUUGAUUAUUUUGACUGUUGGUUUCAUUGAUUUUCUCUACUGUAUUUUCUGUUUACACCUUUCUUUGAUUUGUACUUUUUUCUUUAUUAUUUCCUUCCUUCUGCUUGCCUGCAGAUCUCAGGGAGAGCUACCCAUCCUGGAGUCAAUUGAUGGUUAUCAGGAAGGUGUUUUCAGCUAUUUUCAAAAUACCUUGCAUCUAUGGAACGUGUGUGUAUUUUUGGGUAAUGGCUACUGGACAUCUCCUUGCUUCCUGGUUAUGCCAGGAGUGCCUUUUUCCCUUCAGUACGAUUCCUUCAAACAUUUUGAUGCUUAGGAAGCUAAAUGAGAGAUGGAUUCCUGGGUCAAAGGCAUAUGAGCGUGUUUCCUCACUGGAGAAGCUGUUCAGGAAGGGCUGCAGUCACAGAAACUCAUAGAGGAGUUCCCGUUGUGGCACAGCAGGAUUGGUGGUGUCUUGGGAGCAAUGGGACACAGUUCGAUCGCAGCCUGGCAUAGUAGGAUAAAGAUCCAGCAUUGCCACAGCUGUGGCUUAGGUUGCAACCAUGGCUCAGAUCUAAUCCCUUUCCCAGGAACUCCAUAUACCUAAGGGUGGCCCAAAAAGAAAAAGAAAAAAGAUUCAUAGAGAUUGUGGGUUCCUCUUUGCUAAGUCUCCAGUACUUACAGGACAGAGUAGUGUUAUAAAAAGAAUAAGGUCUUCGGGAUCUGGCAGAAGGGGUUUAAAUUCCAGCUUGGUCACUUUUAGCUCUGGGACCUUGGCCAUGUCUUUUAAUCUUUUUGAGUCUUGGUUUCCUUGUGUUACAAUGAAGACAUAUGUAUACUACAUGUAGGAUGAGAAGUAGUGUUUAUAAAGGGCCCAGGACAUAGGAGGCCUUUAGUAAAUCUCACAUAGUAAUAUUUCUUCUUUAUAUUUAUUUCUUGGUUUGUGUGGGUAUGGCAUAUGGGCAUCUCAAAUGAAAAUUUUGGACAUGUUUACAUUGAAACAUAAUCAAGUUGAUAACUCACUUGACUCUUACUGUUGCAAGACCCCUUGCUGGUGUGAAUGAAGAGGGACUAGAAAGAAAGUGGCAAGAGGUGGUGAAACAGGCAUUUGACCAAUGAUCAAAUUAUGAACACUGGCAAUUAGAAUACAAAUGCAAAUUUGUGUGGGUGUGGGUGUGUGUGUGUGCGUGAGAGAGAGAGAAUAUUUUUUUUUACAAUUGCCAUUCAGAAUUGCAAAGCUGAGACUUCCAUCUGUGAUCACUCAUCAUCUGAGGUUGUCUCUAUUUGAUUUGUAAUAUAAAUACAGCCCUCUUGUUCUUCCAGAUAUUCACUCUUCAGAGUGUGAACGUGAAAUUAUGUAUAGAUUUAUUUUAUCUGAAGUUGAGGGGAAAGCCUUUUGCAGGGUUGACUAUUUAUUCCUUAAUCUCCUGUUAGAAUUUCUCUAGCUUCAUUCUUCCAGCGUCUAGAAUUAUUUUCAUCUACUGAUUUUGGAUGUAUGAAAGUUUCUUCAUUGUGAGGUAUAUAUUCCCUCAGGCAAUAUUGCUUUUAACUUUUAAAAAAUGCUGAAUUAUUUACCCACUAUUAUAUAAUCCAUCUCCUCUUCUGGGAGAGUGGGAGUUUAAUACAACUCUAGCUUGUAUUGCUGAAAUUAGGAAAUUUAGAUACAGAGGUAGAACAAGGAAAUAAUGAAACCAUGCCUUACUUAUAAGGGUGACACAGUGGACUAACAUGUAAAGAUCUUUGCAGUGAUUGGCAGGUAGAAAUCACAGUGUGUGGGGGUGUCUGUGUGUGGUGCCUCACACCAUGAGGAGCAGAGAGACCUACUGCUUAGAAGUCUGGCCUCUGGAGCUAUACUGAUUUGGUUCAAAUCCAGGCAACAUCACAUACUAGCUGAUUUUGAGCUGCCUUCCUAACCCCUUUGUGUCUAAUUGAGGCAUCUACAGAAUUGGGAUAAUGGUGUCUAUCUCAACUGAUGUUGUGAGGAUUAAAUGCCACAAUUCAGAGUAAAACUCAUAGAGCAGUACCACCUGGCAUCCAUAAAUACUUGGUAGAUAUUUGCUGGUUGUUGUUGUUAUUCGGGGCGUGCCCACAGCAUGCAGAAGUUUCUGAGCCAGGAAUCAAACCUGCAUCACAGCCGUGACUACACUGAAUCCUUCACAUGCUAGGCCACUGGGGAACGCCUAGUUAUUAUUAACAUUUAACAGUUUUUUUUAAAAUUAAUCAUCUAACAGUUAACUUCUCUUCUCCAUCCUUCAUAAUAUUACAUAGAAAGGAAUAAACUGAGUUGUUUUUCCUGUGAUAUUCCA
rnacentral:lncRNA from 1 species